AACGUAGGACACAAGCGUUAUCCGGAGUUACUGGGCGUAAAGGGUGUGUAGGCGGUUCUUUAAGUUUGGUGUGAAAUCUCCCGGCUCAACCGGGAGGGUGCGCCGAAUACUGAGGAACUAGAGUACGGGAGAGGAAAGUGGAAUUCCUGGUGUAGCGGUGAAAUGCGUAGAUAUCAGGAGGAACACCGGUGGUGUAGACGGCUUUCUGGACCGUAACUGACGCUGAGACACGAAAGCGUGGGUAGCAAACAGG
rnacentral:rRNA from 1 species